UGCUGUGUGUUCACUGACUGCUGUGGCCUCCUUUCCGCAGAGGACAAGUAGACGGACUCCCGAGGCCCAAGAGUGAGGAGGCGGGUGCGGAGGAGGGGGGCAAUCUUUGUUACUGCGGCAAGUCCCACCAGCCCAGGUCAGUUUGUCCUGCUUUGGUGGCGUUAAGGAUCAAACCCAGGACCUCGUGCAUGCCAGACAAGUGCGGCGCCUCGGUGUCUCCGUGCCUCGGUGCCUCGGUGCCUCGGUGCCUCGGUGUCUCGGCGCCACCCGCGCUUGACGCAAGGGGAUCCGUUCACAGGGCGCGAAAGAACAAAACCUGAGCUUGAAUAUCGACUCUGCCGCUUCCUAGGAGUUGACUUCCCCUUGAAUAUUCACAGAACAGAUUCUUCACGUGGUGGCUGAACUGUGGAGGACGGUGGGGAAGCCAUCUUGGGGCAGGGGGUGCGUGUGUAGGCCAGCGCUUUGCACUGGCUUGCUUCCAGGUUCCGUGUUGUGUUCUAGCCUCUGCGCCACACUGCCCACGCCUUCGGGAUCUGUCUGGGCGGAGAUCAUCCCAGCCGGCCUUCUAGACUCUUUCUGUUCCUUCUUGGGAGGAGGGGGCCGGGAGGGUCGUGGAGUCAGCUGCUGCGCAUCCAGGCAGCUGUAAGCUGUGCUCUAAUGGCACAGGGUCUCCCGGGGCUCUGGGAGGGGUUGGGGGCCAGAGGUGAGGAAGACCUAGAGAAGGCGGCCGCGUCUACACAGCCAUGGCCGGGAAUCGUUGUCUUCCACGCUGGUGACGGCCUUCCAUGGGAGCUACUUUACGGUCACCCAGGCUCGGGCAACAACAGUAUAAGCCCAAACCAGAGGCAGCUGGGAGGAGGGAACAUAGACCGCACUUCUCCUGGCCGAGCUGACUUUCGGUGAGUGACAUUUAGGGGGUGCUGAGUGCGAACAGGCUCCGUGUAGCCUGACCCGUCCCCCCACUUUUCCUGUUUCUAAGAAGGGCCUGGUAAAACUGCCCAAGAUGCUUUCUGAAUCCCAGGUUCCUCUCUGGAGGGCUCGGCUGCCUGAGACGGAGCGCCUACCCCCGCUCGGGUCUCUUUGUCCUUUGAUAAACUGCAGUCCGGGGUUUUUCUUGGCUGAGGCCCUGGAAGCACAGCUCGGGGAUUGUACAGCGGAGGUCUCAGUCCCAGGUGAUCAAGUUGGUAGCUAACCAGGAAGUUUGUGUUUCAAGGCCUUAGUCAACACGUGGGUGUGGAAGCUCCUACCAAUUUCAAGGCAGAGUCAACUGUUUCUAAAUAGGGACUUUCACGUUAGUCAGACUUCUCAAAACAACAUGGUAUUCAAACAAAAUUCCAUUUCCUUUCCCAUCGUGGACAGCCGUGGCUAAAGAUAUUUCUGUCCUGACCAGGGGCUUCCCCGGCCCACAUUCAGCUGGCAUGAUGUCACGGCACUCAGGGGAGGGAGGACAGCCACAUUUGGUGAGCUUGUUUUUCUUUCUCUCUCUCUUUUUCCCUUUAAAAAAAAGAUGUAUUUAUUUUAUGUAUAUGAGUGCACUGUAGCUGUCUUCAGACACCAGAAGAGGGCGUCAGAUCUCAUUACAGAUGGUUGUGAGCCACCAUGUGGUUGUUGGGAUUUGAACUCAGGACCUCUGGAAGAGCAGUCAGUGCUCUUAACCACUGAGCCAUCUCUUCAACUCUUUUUCCCUUUUCUUUCUUUCUUUCUUUCUUUCUUUCUUUCUUUCUUUCUUUCUUUCUUUCUUUCUUUCUUUCUUUCUUUCUCUCUCUCUCUCUCUCUCUCUCUCUCUCUCUCUCUUUCUUUCUUUCUGUUGUUUUUGUUUUAUUUUGUUUUGCUUUUUCGAGACAGGGUUUCUCUGUGUAGCCCUGUCCUGGAACUCACUCUGUAGAUCAGGCUGGCCUCAAACUCAGAAAUCCGCCUGCCUCUGCCUCCCAAGGGCUGGGAUUACAGGCGUGUGCCACCAUACCCGGCUUUCUUUUCUUUUCUUUUCUUUUCUUUUCCUUUCCUUUUUCCUUUUUCCUUUCCUUUUUCCUUUUUCCUUUCCUUUUUCCUCUCCUCUCCUUUCCUUUCCUUUCCUUUCCUUUCCUUUCCUUUCCUUUCCUUUCCUUUCCUUUCCUUUCCUUUCCUUUCCUUUCCUAUUUGUUGCGAACAGGGUCUUAGGCAGUUCAGUCAGUCCUCAAACCUCCUACGGGAUAGAUUUGAACUCCUAUUCUCCUGCCUCAGACUCAAGUGCUGAGAUCACAGGCAUCUGCCAUCUUGCCUGCCGGAAAUCGCUCACCCAUGAGCCUUAGCUUCCCCUCCGGCACCUCAGAAGAGCUGAAGCUGCUGGAGCAAGAGUCCUGAUGUAUUUCAUUCAUUUUGAGUCUCUGGUAGGCUGACUUCCUGAGACUCCAGCAGUGCAGGCCACAGCCUCCAAGAGGAACC